CCUACGGGAGGCAGCAGUGGGGGAUAUUGGACAAUGGGGGGAACCCUGAUCCAGCGACGCCGCGUGAGUGAAGAAGUAUUUCGGUAUGUAAAGCUCUGUCAGCAGGGAAGAAAGAAAUGACGGUACCUGACCAAGAAGCCCCGGCUAACGACGUGCCAGCAGCCGCGGGAAUACGUAGGGGGCAAGCGUUAUCCGGAAUGACUGGGUGUAAAGGGAGCGUCGACGGUUAAGUAAGUCUGGAGUGAAAGGCCGGGGCACAACCCCGGGACUGCUCUGGAAACUAUUGAACUUGAGUGCAGGAGAGGUAAGCGGAAUUCCUAGUGUAGCGGUGAAAUGCGUAGAUAUUAGGAGGAACACCAGUGGCGAAGGCGGCUUACUGGGCUGUAACUGACGUUGAGGCUCGAAAGCGUGGGGAGCAAACAGGAUUAGAUACCCUUGUAGUC
rnacentral:rRNA from 1 species